rnacentral:rRNA from 2 species
AGCAGCCGCGGUAAUUCCAGCUCCAAUAGCGUAUAUUAAAGUUGUUGCAGUUAAAAAGCUCGUAGUUGAAUUUCGGGGUCAGUAGGUUGGUCAUGCCACUGGUAUGUACUGGUCUCACUGAUUCCUCCUUCCUGAUGAACUGUAAUGCCAUUAAUUUGGUGUUGCAGGGAAUCUGGACUGUUACUUUGAAAAAUUAGAGUGUUUAAAGCAGGCUAACGCCUGAAUACAUUAGCAUGGAAUAAUGAAAUAGGACGUUCGAUCCUAUUUUGUUGGUUUCUAGGAUUGACGUAAUGAUUAAUAGGGAUAGUUGGGGGCAUUAGUAUUCAAUUGUCAGAGGUGAAAUUCUUGGAUUUAUUGAAGACUAACUACUGCGAAAGCAUUUGCCAAGGAUGUUUUCAUUAAUCAAGAACGAAAGUUAGGGGAUCGAAGACGAUCAGAUACCGUCGUAGU